GGGGCUGUAGCUCAGUUGGUAGAGUGCUCGCCUAACGUGCUUGAGGCCCUGGGUUUGAUCCCAGCACCCCUA
rnacentral:tRNA from 1 species